rnacentral:rRNA from 1 species
AACUCUCAACAACGGAUAUCUUGGCUCCCGCAUCGAUGAAGAACGCAGCGAAAUGCGAUACGUAGUGUGAAUUGCAGAAUUCCGUGAAUCAUCGAAUCUUUGAACGCAUAUCUGCGCUAGAGCCUUCGGGCAAGAGCAUGUCUGGCUCAGCGUC